rnacentral:rRNA from 1 species
GACGAACGCUGGCGGCGUGCCUAAUACACGCAAGUCGAGCGCAGGAAACUGACGGAACUCUUCGGAGGGAAGGCAGUGGAAUGAGCGGCGGACGGGUGAGUAACACGUAAGGAACCUGCCUCAAGGAUUGGGAUAACUCCGAGAAAUCGGAGCUAAUACCGGAUAGUUCAUCGGACCGCAUGGUCCGUUGAUGAAAGGCGCUUCGGCGUCACCUUGAGAUGGCCUUGCGGUGCAUUAGCUAGUUGGUGGGGUAACGGCCCACCAAGGCGACGAUGCAUAGCCGACCUGAGAGGGUGAUCGGCCACACUGGGACUGAGACACGGCCCAGACUCCUACGGGAGGCAGCAGUAGGGAAUCUUCCACAAUGGACGAAAGUCUGAUGGAGCAACGCCGCGUGAGUGAUGAAGGUUUUCGGAUCGUAAAACUCUGUUGUAAGGGAAGAACACGUACGAGAGGAAAUGCUCGUACCUUGACGGUACCUUACGAGAAAGCCACGGCUAACUACGUGCCAGCAGCCGCCGCAGUAA